CGGGCAGUAUCUUAAUGGUAGAGCUCCAGCUUCGCAUGCGGGAAGACCUGGGUUCGAUACCCGGUUGCCUAC
rnacentral:tRNA from 1 species